rnacentral:rRNA from 1 species
UACGUAGGGUGCAAGCGUUGUCCGGAAUUAUUGGGCGUAAAGAGCUCGUAGGCGGUCUGUCGCGUCUGCUGUGAAAACUCAGGGCUUAACCCUGAGCUUGCAGUGGGUACGGGCAGACUAGAGUGCGGUAGGGGGAGACUGGAAUUCCUGGUGUAGCGGUGAAAUGCGCAGAUAUCAGGAGGAACACCGGUGGCGAAGGCGGCCCCCUGGACCGGUACUGACGCU